rnacentral:rRNA from 1 species
AGAGUUUGAUCCUGGCUCAGAUUGAACGCUGGCGGCAUGCCUUACACAUGCAAGUCGAACGGCAGCACGGGAGCAAUCCUGGUGGCGAGUGGCGAACGGGUGAGUAAUAUAUCGGAACGUGCCCAGUCGUGGGGGAUAACGCAGCGAAAGCUGUGCUAAUACCGCAUACGAUCUAUGGAUGAAAGCGGGGGAUCGCAAGACCUCGCGCGAUUGGAGCGGCCGAUAUCAGAUUAGCUAGUUGGUGGGGUAAAAGCCUACCAAGGCGACGAUCUGUAGCUGGUCUGAGAGGACGACCAGCCACACUGGAACUGAGACACGGUCCAGACUCCUACGGGAGGCAGCAGUGGGGAAUUUUGGACAAUGGGCGCAAGCCUGAUCCAGCCAUUCCGCGUGAGUGAAGAAGGCCUUCGGGUUGUAAAGCUCUUUCGCAAGGGAAGAAAACUUAUCCUCUAACAUAGGAUGAGGUUGACGGUACCUUGAUAAGAAGCACCGGCUAACUACGUGCCAGCAGCCGCGGUAAUACGUAGGGUGCGAGCGUUAAUCGGAAUUACUGGGCGUAAAGCGUGCGCAGGCUGUUUUGUAAGUCAGAUGUGAAAUCCCCGAGCUCAACUUGGGAACUGCGUUUGAAACUACAAGACUAGAAUAGGUCAGAGGGGGGUAGAAUUCCACGUGUAGCAGUGAAAUGCGUAGAGAUGUGGAGGAAUAUCAAUGGCGAAGGCAGCCCCCUGGGAUCAUAUUGACGCUCAUGCACGAAAGCGUGGGGAGCAAACAGGAUUAGAUACCCUGGUAGUCC